rnacentral:rRNA from 1 species
AGUGAGGAAUUUUCCGCUNUGGGCGAAAGCCUGACAGAGCAAUACCGCGUGAGGGAUGAAGGCCUAUGGGUUGUAAACCUCUUUUCUCAAGGAGGAAGAUAUGACGUUACUUGAGGAAUAAGCAUCGGCUAACCCUGUGCCAGCAGCCGCGGUAAUACAGGGGAUGCAAGUGUUAUCCGGAAUCAUUGGGCGUAAAGCGUCUGCAGGUUGACUUUUAAGUCUUUUGUUAAAGCUCCGGGCUUAACCUAGAAUAUGCAAAGGAAACUAUCUGUCUUGGGUAUGGUAGAGGUAAAGGGAAUUUCCAGUGGAGCGGUGAAAUGCUUAGAUAUUGGAAAGAACACCAACAGCGAAGGCACUUUACUGGGCCAGUACUGACACUGAGAGACGAAAGCUAGGGGAGCAAACGGGAUUAGAUACCCCGGUAGUCCUAGCUGUAAACGAUGGAUACUAGAUGUUGUGCUUAAGAAAAAGUACAGUGUCGUAGCUAACGCGUUAAGUAUCCCGCCUGGGAAGUAUGCUCGCAAGAGUG